rnacentral:rRNA from 1 species
CACGUAGUUAGCCGUGGCUUUCUGGUGAGGUACCGUCAAGGUACCGCCCUAUUCGAACGGCACCGCUUCUUCCCUCACAACAGAGCUUUACGACCCGAAGGCCUUCCUCACUCACGCGGCGUUGCUCCGUCAGACUUUCGUCCAUUGCGGAAGAUUCCCUACUGCUGCCUCCCGUAGGAGUCUGGGCCGUGUCUCAGUCCCAGUGUGGCCGAUCACCCUCUCAGGUCGGCUACGCAUCGUCGCCUUGGUAAGCCGUUACCUUACCAACUAGCUAAUGCGCCGCGGGCCCAUCCCCUAGUGAUAGCCGAAGCCAUCUUUCACCCUCUCUCCAGGUGGAGAAAGGGAUUAUCCGGUAUUAGCUCCGGUUUCCCGGAGUUAUCCCAGUCUAAGGGGCGGGUUGCCCACGUGUUACUCACCCGUCCGCCGCUAAGUUUCAAAACGCAAGCUUCUUGAAACUCCGCUCGACUUGCAUGUAUUAGGCACGCCGCCAGCGUUCGUCCUCGUAGCCACGGAGUAAACUAC